rnacentral:misc_RNA from 1 species
GGGAAACUCCAAUCUCUAACCAAAAACAUCAGUGUCUGGAAAGGCUUUUGGAAAAUUUCAUCCAUUGCCAGACGACCGUAUUCUGUGAAGAGCUGCAGCUGUUGAAGAUCAUCUUCUUGAAUGUUCUGAGAUAAAUUAUAAAUCUGAACAGAACUAGUCAUAGUGCUUAGAGCAAAGAUGGUAGCACAGUCUUUCACAGUUGACUGGCUG